rnacentral:miRNA from 1 species
UCGAGCCCCUCCCACAGAUUG